rnacentral:lncRNA from 1 species
CCUGCCCCCAGCAGGAGAGCAGUGACAGGAAACUCGCCCGGCUGGCGCCACAGGAACCAGCUACAGGAGACUGGCAGCCCCCAGGGCAGGGCCGGACACUACUGUUGGUGGCUGCUUUUGGGUUGGUGCUUCAAGGGCCUUGUGCCAACACUCUACGCAACUUCACCCGGGCCAGCGAGGCUGUAGCCUGUGGGGCAGAGCUGGCCCUGAACCAGACCGCCGAAGUGCUACAGAGGGCCAAGCAACCUCUUGUCAGUGCCCUGAACAAGAUUAAAGCUAUUGCCCGGAAGACCAAAGAGGUGGCUGACCGGGUCCGCAAGUUCUUUCGGUCAAUCAUGGAUGGUGUGAAACACAUAGCCAGGGCUCUCCGGAAUGUGUGGCAGUGGCUCCUGCACAUCGG